CCUCUCAUUGAUUGUGAGCUCAUUAGUUUUAUUCUUGCAGGGCUUAGUUCGAACUAUGAUCCACUUAUAACCUCCCUCACAACUCGACUUAAAUACAUGAACCUCUAGAAGACAUAUGGGCACCUACUCAAUUAUGAGC